AACGAACGCUGGCGGCAGGCUUAACACAUGCAAGUCGAACGCAUCCUUCGGGGUGAGUGGCAGACGGGUGAGUAACGCGUGGGAACGUGCCCUUCAGUUCGGGAUAACCCAGGGAAACUUGGGCUAAUACCGGAUACGUGCGAGAGCAGAAAGAUUUAUCGCUGAAGGAUCGGCCCGCGUCUGAUUAGCUAGUUGGUGGGGUAAUGGCCCACCAAGGCGACGAUCAGUAGCUGGUCUGGGAGGAUGAUCAGCCACAUUGGGACUGAGACACGGCCCAGACGCAUGCGGGAGGCAGCAGUGGGGAAUAGUGGACAAUGGGCGCAAGCCUGAUCCAGCCAUGCCGCGUGAGGGAUGAAGGCCUUAGGGUUGUAAAGCUCUUUCGUCCGGGACGAUAAUGACGGUACCGGAAGAAGAAGCCCCGGCUAACUUCGUGCCAGCCGCCGCCGUAA
rnacentral:rRNA from 1 species